CACGCUGUAAACGAUGUGCACUAGGCGUGGGGCACGUCGGUGCUCUGUGCCGUAGCUAACGCGAUAAGUGCACCGCCUGGGGAGUAUGCUCGCAAGGGUGAAACUCAAAGGAAUUGACGGGGGCCCGCACAAGCGGUGGAGCAUGUGGUUUAAUUCGAUGGUACACGAGGAACCUUACCAGGGCUUGACAUGUGCAUGACAGUCCGUGAGAACGGGCGUCCCCGCAAGGGGCGUGCACACAGGUGCUGCAUGGCUGUCGUCAGCUCGUGUCGUGAGAUGUUGGGUUAAGUCCCGCAACGAGCGCAACCCUUACCGUCUGUUGCCAACGGGUGAUGCCGGGGACUCGGACGGAACUGCCGGUGACAAACCG
rnacentral:rRNA from 1 species